CGGAGCGUGGCCUAAUGGCUAGGGCACCUCGUUUGGGACGAGGGGGUUGCAGGUUCGAGUCCUGUCGCUCCGACCA
rnacentral:tRNA from 1 species